rnacentral:rRNA from 1 species
GCCUACGGCCAUACCACCCUGAAUGCGCCCGAUCUCGUCUGAUCUCCGGAGAUAAGCAGGGACGGGCUUGGUUAGUACCUGGAUGGGAGACCGCCUGGGAAUGCCAGGUGUUGUA